ACGGGAGGCAGCAGUGAGGAAUAUUGGUCAAUGGGCGGGAGUCUGAACCAGCCAAGUAGCGUGAGGGAUGACGGCCAUAUGGUUGUAAACCUCUUUUGCGAGGGAAUAAAGUGCGUCACGUGUGGUGCAUUGCAUGUACCUUGCGAAUAAGGAUCGGCUAACUCCGUGCCAGCAGCCGCGGUAAUACGGAGGAUCCGAGCGUUAUCCGGAUUUAUUGGGUUUAAAGGGAGCGUAGGCGGGAAGUCAAGUCAGCUGUGAAAUGUAGUCGCUCAACGUCUGCACUGCAGUUGAAACUGGUUUUCUUGAGUGCGUAAGAGGCAGGUGGAAUUUGUCGUGUGGCGGUGAAAUGCUUAGAUAUGACGAAGAACUCCGAUUGCGAAGGCAGCCUGCUGGGCCGCAACUGACGCUGAAGCUCGAAGGUGCGGGUAUCAAACAGGAUUAGAUACCCUGGUA
rnacentral:rRNA from 1 species